CUUCAAGUGGCGUAAUUGAUAACGCGCCUGUCUUGCGAAUUCGGAGUCGUGAGUUCUACUCUCAUCGAGAAGA
rnacentral:tRNA from 1 species